GGCCGCGCUCGCCCCUCCCCGGGCCCCAGCGAGCGGCAGUGGGAGGGCGGCGGGCUCGGGCCGCAGCGCAUCGUUCAAAAGAAACCAAGCGUCGAGAGACAACGAAAUGGAGGAAAAUGGCCGAGCCCCGGCCGGCUGCGAAAGGCCGGUGGAGGACGCCAGGCCCCGAUCCGCAGAGAGCCCGAGCCAUCGCUGCCAAACACAUCCCUGCUCCUGGGGGAAAGCAAGAUGGGGCCGGAGGAUGGCUGCUUUCCCUGCAGUGCCCCUCCAUCUUACAGAUUUCAGAGCAGUCAGGGCUUCCCCUCGUAGUAAAGAAAUUUAAAUUUGCCUUGAGCUGAUGGGUAAAAUAUUUAAGCUCAAGAUGCCAGUUCUCCCCUCACUCCGUGUUGCCUGUCCACCAUCAGCAGGCUCCCUGCAGAAAGCCAGGGUGCAGUGGUUGUGUGUGGAACCUGCUUGGUGCAGAGUGGGAAUUUCACCAAACCAAAACCCAAAAACCCAUACACAAAAAUAAAGCCUGCUCUGUCCUAUUAAAAAAAAAAAAUGCACAUACAGGAUUAGUAAGAGCAGAUGUAACUUGAAAACCAAGAGCUAAAUUGAUUUAUAGCCAUGGUUACUCGAAAUGCUCAGAGUUUAAUCUAUUCAUAGAAAUGCUCUAGAAAUCCCACAGGAUUCCAAUGGAAUAAAAAGGAGCCGUGCUCUUAGGCAGGCAUUAUUUAUACACCUUGCUCCUAAAGCAACAGCUUUCCCAUGCAGUUGGAAGAGUUGUGGGUGGCAGCACACAAUGGCCCAAGUAACCUUGUGGUUAACACUUUAUGAGCUAGAUGACAGAUCCUACCCAAAAUGGGCUCAGCAUGAAGAAUUUUCCCAUUGAAAAUACUCUUAACAGAGAUGGUGAUUUAAAGAAAUUUCAUUCUUUAAUCCCUUCAAUGAACUCAUGAGAUGCUUCACUAUUUCACAGCCACAGAACUGAGUGAGAAGGACACUGAGGAUUUCUGGAGCCCAAGAGUUUCUGUGGGAGACAUCAGCACCUGCAGAGCCAAAGGGUACCACUGGCACCAAUUUUGGGAGCAUUUACUGUGAGAGCAAGAAUCUGGUUCACUGUAUGUGAUGGGAUAAAUAAAUCCCUAAGAGCAGCUAAGAACAA